GACGAACGCUGGCGGCGUGCUUAACACAUGCAAGUCGAACGGAAAGGCCCUGCUUUUGUGGGGUGCUCGAGUGGCGAACGGGUGAGUAACACGUGAGUAACCUGCCCUUGACUUUGGGAUAACUUCAGGAAACUGGGGCUAAUACCGGAUAGGAGCUCCUGCUGCAUGGUGGGGGUUGGAAAGUUUCGGCGGUUGGGGAUGGACUCGCGGCUUAUCAGCUUGUUGGUGGGGUAGUGGCUUACCAAGGCUUUGACGGGUAGCCGGCCUGAGAGGGUGACCGGCCACAUUGGGACUGAGAUACGGCCCAGUCUCCUACGGGAGGCAGCAGUGGGGAAUAUUGCACAAUGGGCGGAAGCCUGAUGCAGCAACGCCGCGUGCGGGAUGAAGGCCUUCGGGUUGUAAACCGCUUUCGCCUGUGACGAAGCGUGAGUGACGGUAAUGGGUAAAGAAGCACCGGCUAACUACGUG
rnacentral:rRNA from 1 species